GAUGAACGCUGGCGGCGUGCCUAAUACAUGCAAGUCGAGCGAACAGACGAGGAGCUUGCUCCUCUGACGUUAGCGGCGGACGGGUGAGUAACACGUGGAUAACCUACCUAUAAGACUGGGAUAACUUCGGGAAACCGGAGCUAAUACCGGAUAAUAUAUUGAAUCGCAUGGUUCAAUAGUGAAAGACGGUUUUGCUGUCACUUAUAGAUGGAUCCGCGCCGCAUUAGCUAGUUGGUAAGGUAACGGCUUACCAAGGCAACGAUGCGUAGCCGACCUGAGAGGGUGAUCGGCCACACUGGAACUGAGCCACGGUCCAGACUCCUACGGGAGGCAGCAGUAGGGAAUCUUCCGCAAUGGGCGAAAGCUUGACGGAGCAACGCCGCGUGAGUGAUGAAGGUCUUCGGAUCGUAAAACUCUGUUAUUAGGGAAGAACAAAUGUGUAAGUAACUAUGCACGUCUUGACGGUACCUAAUCAGAAAGCCACGGCUAACUACGUG
rnacentral:rRNA from 1 species